GACGAACGCUGGCGGUGUGCUUAACACAUGCAAGUCGAACGGAAAGGCCCUGCUUUCGUGGGGUGCUCGAGUGGCGAACGGGUGAGUAACACGUGAGUAACCUGACCUUGACUUUGGGAUAACUUCAGGAAACUGGGGCUAAUACCGGAUAGGAGCUCCUGCUGCAUGGUGGGGGUUGGAAAGUUUCGGCGGUUGGGGAUGGACUCGCGGCUUAUGAGCUUGUUGGUGGGGGAGUGGCAUACCAAGGCUUUGACGGGUAGCCGGCCUGGGAGGGUGACCGGCCACAAUGGGACUGAGAUACGGCCCAGACUCCUACGGGAGGCAGCAGUGGGGAAUAUUGCACAAUGGGCGGAAGCCUGAUGCAGCAACGCCGCGUGCGGGAUGACGGCCUUCGGGUUGUAAACCGCUUUCGCCUGUGACGAAGCGUGAGUGACGGUAAUGGGUAAAGAAGCACCGGCUAACUACGUG
rnacentral:rRNA from 1 species